rnacentral:antisense_RNA from 1 species
AUAGAAAACAAUUUUGUCUUGAAAAACAAGGACCCUUUUUCCCGUGUGGGACCAGUUCCUACUUAUGUUUUACCAGCCAAUUGGACUGGAACUUAUACAGUUGUUUAUUUAGCCCCAGAAAUUAAUAUAGCUCCCAACAACCAAUCCUUCAUUAUACUUUUAACUGCAACCACCAGACACAAAUGAGCCAUCCAACUGAUACCACUUUCGGUAGAGCUAGGAAUAACAGCAGGAGUAUGAAUGAGAGUUAGCAGCCUUGCAACUUCCCUAUCCUAUUACCAAUGCUUGUCCAAGGAUUUUAUGGAAAGCUUGGGUGACAUUGCCCAAAAGUAUCAUCACCUUACAAAAUCAUAUAGACUCUUUGGCAGUGGUAGCUUUGUAAAAUAGAAGGGGACUGGAUCUCCUAAAUGCUGAAGAAGGUGGCUUAUGUCUUUUUCCUAGAGGAAGAAUGCUGUUUUUAUGUCAACCAAACAGGAUUAGUAAGGGAUGCCACCCAAAAACUAGCCAAUUGGGACCAUAAGAUAUGACAACAGCUGUCUGAGUCAUGGGGCGCCUAGUCAAAAUGCUAAUUUGGGGUUCACAUCUCCUUCCUCUGGCCCAGUCCACUAUUAAUUAUUAUACUUGCCUUGGUUUUUGGAUCAUGUUUGUUAAAUCUUUUAACCAGAUUUAUUUCUUCUUGCCUAGAGACCAUUAUGCUAAUGCAGCAGGGCUACCAGCCAGUUUCAGAUAAUGAUGUCAACCUCGGCCAUCAAGAAGUAACCUUGUCUCCACUAGACAGAGCAGGUUGCGGGAAUUUAGCCAAUUCAGAGGUCUUGUUCUCCAUAAUCUGGAACUUUCCUUCAGAUUUGAUCAAGUUGGAUAAAGUUGGUCAAACCCAAUGGGAAAAAGAUGAAAACAACAAGAAACAGAAACAAACAACAACAACAACAACAAAACAGACCCCACACCUCCAGACCCUGCUGUGGGAGGGAGGGCCACCCAUUUCUAGUCCCAGUUCCUCCUCUAACUAUCCGUGUGACCUUAAACAAGGCCUUUCCCCUCUCUGGCCUCAGUAUCCGCCUCUGAACAAUGGGGCUGGUGCCUGCUGACCUUCUGGCCCUUUUCUGCUCUGUGAGUUUGUGAACUUGUGAUAGGGAGACAAGAGUCCUAGGAAACGGAAGGAGAGCACAUUUCACUCUGUCCAGCAGAGGGCAGCAGCCACCCACAAAUCAACAGCUGGACAAAGCCAGGGCUGUGCGGGAGCUAUGCACAGGUUCUGCCUCCAGAAGCCUUCAGUGCCAGCCUCUGAGCCAGAGGGUUCCAAGCAGAAGAGGUCCCACCCCUGGAGAAGAACCUCAGAGAGGUCCUCCAAGCCCCUCUCAGCUCUUACUUACGGCAUCCCAGAUGCCCUAUUCCUCUUCUGCAGACAGAAGGUGGGUCAGCCACUAAAUGGUGCUCGGACCUUGCAGCUUGGUGGGAAGGAGGAAGCUUAUUCAAGCAAGGAAGAUGACACAGGCAAAAACCGACGCAUAAGCCAA